rnacentral:rRNA from 1 species
UGGUGGAGUGAUUUGUCUGGUUAAUUCCGAUAACGAACGAGACCUCAGCCUGCUAAAUAAGUCACGGUGUUCCGUGCUCAAACACGGAACUGCCGGAAGUACUUCUUAGAGGGACAAUUCGCCUCGAGCGGAUGGAAGUGAGGCAAUAACA